rnacentral:rRNA from 2 species
GAUGAACGCUGGCGGCGCGCCUAACACAUGCAAGUCGAACGGUUAAAGCACCUUUUAGGUGUGUAUAAAGUGGCGAACGGCUGAGUAACACGUGGGCAACCUGCCCUCCUCUUGGGGAUAGCCUCGGGAAACCGAGGAUAAUACCCGAUACUUCAAUGUGGCCGCAUGACGACAUUGAGAAAGCUUUUGCGGAGAAGGAUGGGCCCGCGGCCUGUUAGCUUGUUGGUGGGGUAGAGGCCUACCAAGGCAAUGAUGGGUAGCUGGGUUGAGAGACCGACCAGCCAGAUUGGGACUGAGACACGGCCCAGACUCCUACGGGAGGCAGCAGUGGGGAAUCUUGCACAAUGGGCGAAAGCCUGAUGCAGCGACGCCGCGUGCGGGACGAAGGCCUUCGGGUUGUAAACCGCUUUCAGCAGGGACGAGGCGAAAGUGACGGUACCUGCAGAAGAA